UGGGGAAUAUUGCACAAUGGGCGCAAGCCUGAUGCAGCAACGCCGCGUGCGGGAAGAAGGCCUUAGGGUUGUAAACCGCUUUCAGCAGGGAAGAAAAUGACGGUACCUGCAGAAGAAGGUGCGGCCAACUACGUGCCAGCAGCCGCGGUGACACGUAGGCACCAAGCGUUGUCCGGAUUUAUUGGGCGUAAAGAGCUCGUAGGCGGUUCAGUAAGUCGGGUGUGAAAACUCUGGGCUCAACCCAGAGACGCCACCCGAUACUGCUGUGACUUGAGUACGGUAGGGGAGUGGGGAAUUCCUGGUGUAGCGGUGAAAUGCGCAGAUAUCAGGAGGAACACCAGUGGCGAAGGCGCCACUCUGGGCCGUAACUGACGCUGAGGAGCGAAAGCGUGGGUAGCAAACA
rnacentral:rRNA from 1 species